UUCUUGUAGAUAUCGCUACUGAAGCACACAACAUUGUUGCAGAAAGCUGAGUGAAAUUCGUCAGAUUGAGCAGUGAGGUGUUGUACUUGUUCUCUUAUAAUAUCUCUGCCAUUAGCAUUAGCGGUGUUGUACUUAUUCUGGGGCUCAGAUUCUCAUCUCUGAAAAUCGGAUUGUCUUUCUUGU